rnacentral:lncRNA from 1 species
GAAAAAUAUGGUACAUGUUAACCAUCUAUUGUACUUGAUCAAUGGUUAUUACAUCAGUGAUCCACAAAUUGUUUCGAGAUAAGAACAAAAUUUUACUAAUGGAUUGUGCCAUGUCCCAUAUAACCUUACACUUUCUCUGUGGCCUCCAAUCUCCAUGAUACAUACGUCCCACUUGACAACACAACUUAGAUUAGCUACAAACUCUUUUUACUCUAUAUGUUUAUGAGGUAUUAUACUAUAAAUCCCUUCUUGCUCUGCUUCUGCUCACCCCUGUCUCCUCUCAUCUUUCCGGCUCCCGCCACGAGGGAAAAUGAAUGAAUCUUGUGUGGAUGUCUGAGUUACAGCUGCUGGUGACCCUUGCUCAGCUGUGCUACAUCCUUGUAUUAUUAAUCUUCAUGCCAUUUCCUGCUCCAAUUAACUCUCUGGAAAUAGAAACCUUGCAACUACUUUCGUCAACCAAGUUAGUUUUCAUCUAAUUUGAUAUGUACCUGCAAAGCCAUGACAAAUGAACGAAUAGUUAAUCUUGGAGUGAAACCAUAGAAUUGACAGCGCAAAGCUGAAUGUAAAAUCCGAGCACAACAUCAUAUCCAACUAAGAUUUGGGAUACCUUUUCCUGCAAGCAGGCCACACAGCAACAACAUCUCCAAAGCUAAGCAUCAGUUCGAAUAUAUGCUCAAUCCUCCAUGUCACUGGAAGUAACAUCUAAGCACCUGAAAGACUAAUCUUGUAUCAGACUAUCAGUAGGCAACAACUGCAGAGCAGUAACUAUAUGUGAGCAUAUCACAUAAAUCAAAAGACAAUUUAAAUGAAAGGGUCAAUUAUUAAAAGGAGAAAAUCUUAAGAUGGCAUGCCUCAAACCCAGCAGAGAGGCAAGCAGCCCCCAAAAACAUACUGUAGUGAUCGCUGAUGAAUCCUAAACUUAUCCUAAUCUACUUCACUUCAAAUGCGGUGUGCCACAAUUGGAUUACAACCACCGAUUGUAGAAAUAAAAAUGUGUUGAUAUGGGAGAGCUUUGCCUUCCAGGUGGCCUCUAGCUCGGCGACCUCAUGCUCACGCAAUGCAAUGUAGCUCUGCAUCUCACGCUCCUUCAUGGUGUGAAAAAAAAAACAGAAAACAAGAUAAAAUUAGUUUUCAGUUGCUCAUAUCUGCCUCCUUGGCUCUCUGAGAAUCAGGAUGUUUCCCGUUGUUAGGUAUGGUAGGAAACUUAUACUACACAAGAACAACUUCUAUCAAUUUAAAAUUUGAAGUUUCCAUGGUAAAGAUUAUGCUUAGUAUUCUGGACAAUUUCUUGAUCAUGUUCCUUAGCGGGCAAUGUAGUAAAAUUGGGACGAUCUGCUUCAGCAACCAUUGAUUCCAGAUCACCUGGUGUGGUUUGCUCUUGAGCAUUCUUAUCCCCAGGCUGUUGCUGAAAAAAAAAUAAUUUGGAGAUGACAUAUUAGAUGAAAAGUAAAAUAAGCCUUUUUCUCGACCUACAGUUUUCCUAGGCUAAAUGCAGGCUGUAGGAUGUGAUCAGCAAAAAAAGAGUGCCACAGGACAACAAAUUAUUAACAAUAUAAGCAUUUGACAGUAGUUGUACACUGCAGAUUUUCACAUUUGAUCUUAUCUGAAAGUAAAAGUUCUUAUUUAAGAACCUUAAUCCUGAAUAAUCCCAUAAUCUUUCCUAGCAAGUAUAUUGCAAGAUUGUGACAAAUUCUAAUACAUAAUGCAGUGAGCGCUGCUUAUCCCAAAUUAAAUUAGAUUUGUUGCAUCCAAACAAAUGAAUUCUAGUGCCCCAUAGAAUGGAGAUUAAUUAAACCAAUUUUGAAGCAUGUGUCAUACUUUUGAGAAAAAAAUAAAGCUUACCAAAUGAUAGAUGCAGAUAUACCUGUCUUGAUUUUCACUUGUAAUUUCUAAGUCUCUACCUGCAGUCAAAAUUAAUUAUUAGACCAGAACCAAAAAAGGAUUGGAGCAAAGAGUAGGGAUAUCUGUCUUGCAUUCAGUGCAUGCCAGGCUAUUCAGAGGUAAAUCUAAGAAAAGCAAUGCAAUAUCUUGAUAAUCUUCAGUUACUUCUAGUUCUAGCAUUCAUAGCCAAUAGCAAUAAAUACAGAAACAGGUUCAGACUUCUGAAAGAACUGCUUGGUAUAUCCUGUACCUUUUAGAAUGAACUUGAAGGCGAGGACAAGAGGCACCGCAUGCACUACGCAGGCACAGGAGCGCUGGCUGCCGGUGCCACUUUGGGUUCAGAAAUGUAUUCAAAAAUUAAAACAAAAAUCUAAAUAUCCUUUUGUUUUCAUUACCUCUCCCCUCUCUUCCAUCAGUUUUACUCGCACCCCACCGCGCACCCCAAAAAUUUAAACAAAAAAUCUAACUAUCUUCGUUUUCAUUACCUGUCCCCUCUCUUCCAUCAGUUAAAUUACAAGGGUGCAUGGUUCAAUGUUUUGGGCCUUCACUAACCAUAUACCUUUGGUAGUUUUUGACCUGAAAAAUUCAAGAAAUUUUUACUAAAUUUACAGAUAGAUUGCGCAAAAGCCAGGAAGUUCCUUCUAAGAAAAGACAGAAAAAUAUGAAACAAUAAAAAAUGCCUUCCUUUGAAAGCAUCCAUCUCCCUAAAAUUCGUGCCAAAAAAAUUAUUCAAAAGUGUACUCUUUCCUUAAAAGAGUUGGAAUGAACGAUAUAAUCAGAUGAAAGAAAGUUCAUUUGGUGCUGUCCCCACUGUCUUGACAUCAGACAGAGCAUCCCCAUUCGAGGGAUUCGGCAACUCAGCCUACACGAAAUCACCUAAAUGAACGCGCAGUAGGUACUCACCACGGUGUUCUUCCUCGCCACAUCCAAGACCUGUAGAAGAGCAACACAUAACGCAAAUAUCAACAAAUCUGGUAAAGCGUCAGUAGGCAAGGAGGCACGGAGAGGGAUGUUCACCGGGGUCGGCGGCACGAUCGGCGAGGGAAGCAGCGAUGCUGGUGAAGGAGGCAUCAGGCGCGCCCCACGUCUCGACUACCUUGGAGGCGUCCACUGCUCUUGCGUGGGCCUCGACCACUGCAACUAGCAGGGAAGAGAGGAAGAGAAGCACUGCCCUCUCGCCUGCCUGCCGAGGAGAAGCUGCGGGAGGAAGAGAAUCGGCGGCACGGGAGGAGACCACCGUGGCCAUCCAUUUCUUUUUUUCCUUUUUACUUUUUUCCCGAGGUAGCAGGCUUCGAACCUAGGUUGUCUCACGUGGGAAGUGCGGAUGUCAGGCGUUGAGGCUGGAGCAUGUCGUGCGUUGAAGCCUUGGGAGUCGAUACAACCUAUAUUUAUUUUUAAUUUUCAGGUUCAGCCG